GGACUACUGGGGUUUCUAAUCCCGUUUGCUCCCCUGGCUUUCGCGCCUCAGCGUCAGAAAAGGUCCAGUGCGCCGCUUUCGCCGCCGGCGUUCCUUCUGAUAUCAACGCAUUUCACCGCUCCACCAGAAGUUCCGCGCACCCCUACCUUCCUCCAGCCCGCCGGUAUCGAAGGCACUUCCACAGUUGAGCUGUGGGAUUUCACCCCCGACCUCGCGAGCCGCCUACGCGCCCUUUAAGCCCAGUGAUUCCGAACAACGUUCGCACGGUUCGUCUUACCGCGGCUGCUGGCAC
rnacentral:rRNA from 3 species